UGCGUAGGCGGUUUAUUAAGUCAGAUGUGAAAUCCCCGCGCUUAACGUGGGCAUUGCAUUUGAAACUAUGUAGCUAGAGUUCUGUAGAGGGGGGUAGAAUUCCAGGUGUAGCGGUGAAAUGCGUAGAGAUCUGGAGGAAUACCGAUUGCGAAGGCAGCCCCCUGGACAGAGACUGACGCUCAAAUGCGAAAGCGUGGGGAUCAAACAGGAUUAGAUACCCGCGUA
rnacentral:rRNA from 1 species